AACGAACGCUGGCGGCAGGCCUAACACAUGCAAGUCGAACGCCCGUAGCAAUACGGGGAGUGGCAGACGGGUGAGUAACGCGUGGGAACGUGCCCUUCGGUUCGGAAUAACUCAGGGAAACUUGAGCUAAAUACCGGAUACGUCCGUAAGGAGAAAGAUUUAUCGCCGAAGGAUCGGCCCGCGUCGGAUUAGCUAGUUGGUGAGGUAACGGCCCACCAAGGCGACGAUCCGUAGCUGGUCUGAGAGGAUGAUCAGCCACACUGGGACUGAGACACGGCCCAGACUCCUACGGAGGCAGCAGUGGGGAAUAUUGGACAAUGGGCGAAAGCCUGAUCCAGCCAUGCCGCGUGAGUGAAGAAGGCCGUUAGGGUUG
rnacentral:rRNA from 1 species